CGAAGCAUUUGUGAUUUGGCUUGGUGAUGUCGACUCCAUUCCUAGUGUUUUCAUCAAGAAGUGCUUUUCCUGCAAGAAUGCACGAUAUAACGGUAAGCAAGAAUUGUGAAAAAAAUUGAUUGAUUUAGCGUAAUUAUAUUUUAUUGACAUCAAGGUACAUUUGUUAUAGCAUAACACGUAAGAAAACAUAGUUAAGAUCGCCUUCACUUUAGAAAUGAGAACCGAAGAGGGUUUCAUUGUAUCUGCAGUAUAAACUAAAAGUUCAAAAUGCAUCAAAGCUUUCGAUUUUGAAAACCGAAGUUUCCUUAUCAAGUUAUCUGCCACAUAGAACAAAAUAAUUUGCGUUAAAGAAUUUCUUGACUCGAUAGAACAAACUUUCUUGAUAGCCCACGACUUUACUACUAAGAAUGCUGUACAUUAAAUCACAAUGAUUACUGCUAUGGUUUAAUUACGAAAAAAUAUUUAAAAGUUCUUACACUCUCCGAGAAUUUUGGGCUGGGAAUAGCUGCUGCCAAUGCUGUGAAUAACGGAGUCACGUGGAGCGGUGAACCAAAUUCAGCCCCAGAAUAUUCACACACUGCUUCACCGUCGUUUUUUAUUUCAUCGUAUGUUAACAUGUUCGCUGUAAUAGAGUAGAUAUUGUCUCAUUUCCACAACUUUAAAGAUUAGAUAAAAGCUGCAAAGAUUGGAUUUUUACGCAUUGUACCUUCAUUUGUGACUGCAGCAUGGCAUAUUCCGUUUUCCUCAACAAGAGAAUCCAGACCAUCCAAUUGAUCUGAUUGCAAUUUGUGUUCAAUUUCAGCGUGGCAUUCUUCUGUUUUGCCACCUGGCGCAUUCGACACC
rnacentral:lncRNA from 1 species